CUUGCCGGAGGUCACCACCCGCCAGCGCGAUGCGCCCGUGGGUGCGAUUUGC
rnacentral:sRNA from 1 species